rnacentral:rRNA from 1 species
AGAGUUUGAUUAUGGCUCAGGAUGAACGCUGGCGGCGUGCUUAACACAUGCAAGUCGAACGAAGCAUUUCUAACUCUUCGGAGGAGGAAAUGACUGAGUGGCGGACGGGUGAGUAACGCGUGGGUAACCUGCCUUAUACAGGGGGAUAACAGUUAGAAAUGACUGCUAAUACCGCAUAACCCGCUAGUACCGCAUGGUACAGACGGAAAAGAUUUAUCGGUAUAAGAUGGACCCGCGUCUGAUUAGCUAGUUGGUGAGGUAAUGGCUCACCAAGGCGACGAUCAGUAGCCGGCUUGAGAGAGUGAACGGCCACAUUGGGACUGAGACACGGCCCAAACUCCUACGGGAGGCAGCAGUGGGGAAUAUUGCACAAUGGGGGAAACCCUGAUGCAGCAACGCCGCGUGAAGGAAGAAGUAUUUCGGUAUGUAAACUUCUAUCAGCAGGAAAGAAAAUGACGGUACCUGACUAAGAAGCCCCGGCUAACUACGUGCCAGCCGCAGC